rnacentral:lncRNA from 1 species
AAUCACGGAGGAGACAUUGCCGCGAAAAAUAAUGGGAAAAGAGGGUUUUCUGAGACCGUUGAUCUCAAGCUGAAUCUUUCAUCGACGGCUCUGGAUUCGGUUUCCGAAGUUGAUAUACAGAAUUUGAAGGAGAAAGUCGUAAAACCACCUGCCAAGUAAGAAACAAUAUUUCAAUCUCCAUUUCAGUUCAUAUUUAUUUGUUUUCUAGAAUUACUUUAUAUAUAGAGAGAGAUAGUUUGUGAUUCUUUAUUCAAGUAGAUGUUCUGAAUGUAUUGAAAUAAUUAGAUUAUCUGUGAAUAGAUUCGGGAAAAUUAGAUAAUACGAGCCGGUCACGUACGAUUUGUAGAUGGAUGUGCUUUAACACGACGAUCUUAUAAAUAUAGGUUUUUUUUUUUUUUCUAAAUUUAAUAAGUGAAUUAGAAUAGGUUAUAGAGCAAUUCUGAAAACAAUUUUCGUCUGUGAUUUUUUCACUUUGUUUUCUUUGGUUCGCCGCUCCAUGGUUUUUCUUUUUCAACAAAUUUUCAGAAGAUCAUUUAUAUUUGAUUAAUAAAUAUUCUUCGCUAGGUUGAGUUAGUGUUCUGUUUGAAAAUGAUUUUGGUCGGGAAGAACUAAGAAAAAUACAAAACAUAAGGAAUCUUACUUUAUCUACGAAAAAAGAUUAAAGAUUAUAUUAAUUGUUUGGACAACUACAGCCACCUAACAUCCGACACGUGCUAAGCAACUAGAUAAAUAACAACUUUAUAGAUUAAGUAAUGCAACUGAUAUUAUAAAAUUAAAUAUCUUUACGGAAUUUCAGGACACAAGUUGUAGGAUGGCCACCGGUACGAUCUUUCCGGAAGAACGUCAUGUCCGGCCAAAAGCAAACCACCGAAGUUGCAGCUGAAGGCACCGAGAAGACUUGCGGCAGUAGCGGAGCCACCUCCUCCGCCAAUGCCGCCGUGGCUUACGUGAAGGUUAGCAUGGACGGC